rnacentral:rRNA from 1 species
GAGUUUGAUCCUGGCUCAGGAUAAACGCUGGCGGCGUGCCUAAUACAUGCAAGUCGAGCGGCAGCAUUUAGUUGGCGAGCGGCGGACGGCAGAGUAACGCGUAGGAACGUACCCCAGACUGAGGGAUAAGCACCGGAAACGGUGUCUAAUACCGCAUAUUAUCUUCGGAUCAAAGCUUCGGCGGUUUGGGAGCGGCCUGCGUAUGAUUAGCUUGUUGGUGAGGUAAAAGCUCACCAAGGCGACGAUCAUUAGCUGGUCUGAGAGGAUGAUCAGCCUGACUGGGACUGAGACACGGCCCAGACUCCUACGGGAGGCAGCAGUAGGGAAUUUUCCGCAAUGGGCGAAAGCCUGACGGAGCAACGCCGCGUGCAGGAGGAAGGCCUUCGGGUUGUAAACUGCUUUUAUCUGUGACGAUUUUGACGGUAGCAGAAGAAUAAGGAUCGGCUAAUUCCGUGCCAGCCGCCGCGGUAAUAC